GAGGGUAUAGCUCAGUGGUAGAGCGUGUGCUUAGCAUGCAUGAGGCCCUGGGUUCAAUCCCCAGUACCUCCA
rnacentral:tRNA from 1 species